GAUGAACGCUGGCGGCGUGCCUAAUACAUGCAAGUCGAGCGAACGGACGAGAAGCUUGUUCCUCUGAGGUUAGCGGCGGACGGGUGAGUAACACGUGGAUAACCUACCUAUAAGACUGGGAUAACAUCGGGAAACCGUAGCUAAUACCGCAUAAUAUUUUGAACCGCAUGGUUCAAAAGUGAAAGACGCUCUUGCUGUCACCAAUAGAUGGACCCGGGUUGAUUAGCUUGGUGGGUAGGUAACGGCUUACCAAGGCAACGAUGCGUAGCCGACCUGAGAGGGUGAUCGGCCACACUGGAACUGAGACACGGUCCAGACUCCUACGGGAGGCAGCAGUGGGGAAUCUUGGGCAAUGGGCGAAAGCCUGACGGAGCAACGCCGCGUGGGUGAUGAAGGUCUUCGGGUCGUAAAACCCUGUUGUUGGGAAAGAAAAUAUGUGUAAGUAAAUGUGCAUAUCUUGACGGUACCUAAACAGAAAGCAACGGCUAACUACGUG
rnacentral:rRNA from 1 species